rnacentral:tRNA from 1 species
GCAGUCGUGGCUGAGUGGUUAGGCGAACACAUCAGAAAUGGGUUCCAAGUGGGUUCGAAUCCCACCGGCUGCA